rnacentral:tRNA from 1 species
GCCUUCAUGGUGUAGCGGUCAGCACGCUCGACGCGUAACCGAGAGUACCGUGGUUCGAUUCCCGGCGAAAGCG